rnacentral:rRNA from 1 species
UGGGGAAUAUUGCACAAUGGGGGAAACCCUGAUGCAGCGACGCCGCGUGAAGGAUGAAGUAUUUCGGUAUGUAAACUUCUAUCAGCAGGGAAGAAAAUGACGGUACCUGACUAAGAAGCCCCGGCUAACUACGUGCCAGCAGCCGCGGUAAUACGUAGGGGGCAAGCGUUAUCCGGAUUUACUGGGUGUAAAGGGAGCGUAGACGGUAAGGCAAGUCUGAAGUGAAAUGCCAGGGCUCAACCCUGGAACUGCUUUGGAAACUGUCCUACUAGAGUGCAGGAGAGGUAAGUGGAAUUCCUAGUGUAGCGGUGAAAUGCGUAGAUAUUAGGAGGAACACCAGUGGCGAAGGCGGCUUACUGGACUGUAACUGACGUUGAGGCUCGAAAGCGUGGGGAGCAAACAGGAUUAGAUACCCUGGUAGU